rnacentral:lncRNA from 1 species
UCCAGAGGCAGAAGCUUGGGUGAACCAUUUGCUAAGGCCCUGAAAACUACCUUUUUCUCUCACACAAGCAGUUGUUGUAAUCAAAUUGGCUCCAUGCCUAGAGCAGGCUGUGUGACUCAGUGACAGUUGCAAUCAGAGCAUGGAGUUGGAGACAAAGAAGUCAUAGAUCAGGAAAUCACAGUGACGAUGGCCAAUUGGGAUUGGAUGGUUUUAUAUGAGUGGAAUUCUUUUUAAAGAAUUUAAUAUCAUUCAUCAAAGACACAUUUAAUCCUGUUACUUUUGUGUGAGAUUAAAAAAAAUUGUCCUGGUGAUAUUCUGUUCAAUACUACAAUUCUGUAUCAAGGGAAAGCUUCAAGUUAAUAUGUUCAGCAUUUCCAGUGAUCUUGAUAUUUACUGAAUACAUGCUGUUGUGCCAGGCACUAUUGUGGAUGCUUUAAAAAGCAGCAGAGCAGAAGGAAAGAA